rnacentral:lncRNA from 1 species
AGGAAGUGGCAGAGCCGCGGUUUGGGGAAGUAACCCGGCGUUGCCGCGGAAUUCCCGAGGUCAGUGGACGUGUUUGGCUUUAGAGAUGAAGAGCGAAAGUGAAUAGAGGGUUUCUGGAGACUUAAGCUAAGCUCCGGGUAACAAAUAAAGGAGCACGUGGGGCUGUCAAUGGGGCAAGAUUGCGCUUGAGAUCCCAGAUGACAGACCUGUAAAGACUGAGCAGACCUUUGACUGACAAGACGGGAUGCUCAGUGAGACCAUCGCAACCUGCAGCUAGGACUUCAUCUUUAACUCAGGUGGUGUUCCUGCGGUAGCUAGUGCUUUUGGUUAAAAGUUUUUAAAUCUCUUUUUAAGUGACAAGAUUUCCAAAUUGUUUCUGUUUUUUUUAGUGGGUUAGUAAGGAUGAAAAAUUGAUUCACUUGGUCUAGUGUGGUCAGAAUAGGUGAAAUACUAAGACUGGGUCUCAUGCCCUCCUUGCCAUCAAAGACCCACUCAUUUAAGGAUGGAGAUUUCCUAGGGGCCGCAAACGUUUCCCACAACCUUGUACCUAGUUAACUGAGAAAAUUCAAGUAACAUAUCUUAACUUCCUGUCCACCCCACAUUUAUCUGCCUCUCUUAUUGAUCUUGGAAAAUGAAUAGCACCCACUCCUCCUGUGCUAUUGAUCAGUGCCGCUUUCUAGACCCUCUGUUACCUCUGACACCUUUGAUCAGACCCUUCUUGAAACCUAAAUCCCUUUGCUUCUCUCCUGUUUGUUCUCCUUAUCUCAUGCUUCUUAAGGGCUCUUUCUCUGCCUGUCCUUUAAAUAAUGUAAGUUUAAACCUUGAUUUUUUUUUCUCUUUUUUUGCAUGAAUAUUCCCCUUCAGAGUACCAUAUUUGCUCAUUGUUUUAAGCUAUUUGCUUAAGGAUCCUAAAACUACUACUAUACCUGACUUCUUCCUUGAGACUCAGACUUUUAUUUGCCUACUAGAUAGAUCCAUUUGGGAGGGCUCAUGAGCCAUUUAGAUUCUAAUUUAUCCCUUCCUUUUAUUUCAACUACCAAUCUAUCUCACCGUUGCCUCCAACCCUCACCUACAUCCCCCAAUUUGUCUUUUCAGUAGCAGCCGGAAUGAUCAGUCUUAAAUGUAAAUCUGACCAUUUUACUGGUCUGUUUCAAUGUCUGCAACCCCCCCCCGCCCCUGCCACCACCACCAUCACCUACAAGAUAAAGUCUACCUCCAUAGCCUGUAUCCUAGGACCUCCGUAAUCUCACCACUGUUUAUGUUUCCACUAUCAUCUUCCAUCACACCCACUUCCCAUUCAUAACACUGUUUUAUACUUACAGAACUUUCAUAUUAUCAUUGACACUGUCUGGACUGUCUUGAUUUUCUUUGUCUAACUCUUACUUUCUUUACUUAUUUUUCAGAUGUCUUCUAAAAAGCCUUUCCCUAAUCCACAGACUGAGCUAGUUGACUUUCCUUCUGACUUUCUGAGUGUUGGUUGAUUUAUCCAGAAAAUACUUAGCCUCUUAUUUUGUGCCAAAGACUGAGCUAGAUAUGGAAAUAUAAUAAUGAACACGUACAUGUAAAAAUCAAUCUAAUAAUUGACAUGACAAAGCUUAUAUUCUCAUAGGGAAGGGAAACUCGAAUUUUAAAAAUGUAGUUCAGUCUGAAUGGUUCCAUGCUUGUGAAUAGAUAGGAAUUAGCUAGAUUAAAGGCUGGAGGGCAAGAGAGAGAUAACUGUAAAGGCCCAGACAUGAGAGGAGAGCAUAGUCCAGGAACAGAGAUUCUAGAUGCAGGGGAAGUAAACAGGCCCAGAUCAUGAGAAGUAUUGCUGAUAAUAUUAAGGCAUUUGACCUUCUUCCUAAAGAUAAUAGUAAGUUUGAAGGGUUUCAACAUGAUUAAGUUUGUAUUUUAGGUAAUGACUCUGGGAACUGUGAGAAAAUGGAAUUGAGUGGCAAGACUAAUGGAAGGAAAACCAGUUAGGCCAUCGUUGUGGUGAUUCAAGGAAGAGAAGAUAUCAGCCUGUACUAGGGCAUUGCCAGUGUGAUGGAAAUAUAAACCCAGAGGAAUUCAGGAAGUAGAACUGGCAAGAUUAGACAACUGAAUUGGAAGGGCAGAGGUGAGAGAAAUAAAGGGUAGAAUUCCACAAACAAGUUUUAGUGAAGACCCUAUUUGCUAUCAUAUGUUCACAGCCCGGAAGCCCUUAGACAUUGUAGAUGCUUGAUAGAUAUCUGCUGAGUGAGAGUUUUCUGGCUUGAGCCUAGAUAAAUGAAAUGCCAUUUUUUGAUUUAGGAAAUGUAGAGGUGAACUCAUUGGGGGAGGUGGCUGAUGAUUGAGUUUUGGAUGUGUCUAGCUCAAGAUGCGGAGAAGGCAAUGGCACCCCACUCCAGUACUCUUGCCUGGAAAAUCCCAUGGAUGGAGGAGCCUGGUAGGCUGCAGUCCAUGGGAUCGCAAAGAAUCGGACACGACUUCACUUUUCACUUUUCACUUUCAUGCGUUGAACCCACUCCAGUGUUCUCGCCUGAAGAAUCCCAGGGACGGGGGAGCCUGGUGGGCUGCCGUGUAUGGGGUCACACAGAGUCGGACAUGACUUAGCAGCAGCAGCUCAAGAUGCCUGUGGGAGAUACACCUGAAAAUGACAGAUACAAUGCAAUUGGGAGAAAUCUCAGACAUAUUCUUUGUAUACUUUAAAAAAAUAAAGGUUUAUAUUUUGUUGAAAUGA